CUGGAAGGCUAUUCAUUCCCCGUGUACAACACAACGUCAUGUCCCAGGAACCUAUCAGAAUGGUAUAUUAGGUCAUCUGACCUCAACUGUACACAGAGUAAUGGAUACAUGUGUAUACCUAACGAGAACAUUACACAGCUGUUGGAGUUCUGCUACAGAUAUUUAAGGAUUCCAAUUGAAAAGGACAUCUGCUUGAUUCUAAAGAAAUCAACGUCCCUUGUUGAAGCCUACAGCUGCAAACAAUUUAGAAAUGGGUGUCCAGAUAAGCAGUACUGGAGUAAUGAAAUCUUUAAAUAUCCAAGUUGUCUAGCUAUUGGAAAUAGAUGUUUUCUUGAUGAGCCUCUGUGUAAAAAUGAAGG